rnacentral:rRNA from 1 species
GUAGGGAAUCUUCCACAAUGGACGAAAGUCUGAUGGAGCAACGCCGCGUGAGUGAAGAAGGGUUUCGGCUCGUAAAACUCUGUUGUUAAAGAAGAACAUAUCUGAGAGUAACUGUUCAGGUAUUGACGGUAUUUAACCAGAAAGCCACGGCUAACUACGUGCCAU